rnacentral:rRNA from 1 species
UUAGCGGCGGACGGGUGAGUAACACGUGGAUAACCUACCUAUAAGACUGGGAUAACUUCGGGAAACCGGAGCUAAUACCGGAUAAUAUUUUGAACCGCAUGGUUCAAAAGUGAAAGACGGUCUUGCUGUCACUUAUAGAUGGAUCCGCGCUGCAUUAGCUAGUUGGUAAGGUAACGGCUUACCAAGGCAACGAUGCAUAGCCGACCUGAGAGGGUGAUCGGCCACACUGGAACUGAGACACGGUCCAGACUCCUACGGGAGGCAGCAGUAGGGAAUCUUCCGCAAUGGGCGAAAGCCUGACGGAGCAACGCCGCGUGAGUGAUGAAGGUCUUCGGAUCGUAAAACUCUGUUAUUAGGGAAGAACAUAUGUGUAAGUAACUGUGCACAUCUUGACGGUACCUAAUCAGAAAGCCACGGCUAACUACGUGCCAGCAGCCGCGGUAAUACGUAGGUGGCAAGCGUUAUCCGGAAUUAUUGGGCGUAAAGCGCGCGUAGGCGGUUUUUUAAGUCUGAUGUGAAAGCCCACGGCUCAACCGUGGAGGGUCAUUGGAAACUGGAAAACUUGAGUGCAGAAGAGGAAAGUGGAAUUCCAUGUGUAGCGGUGAAAUGCGCAGAGAUAUGGAGGAACACCAGUGGCGAAGGCGACUUUCUGGUCUGUAACUGACGCUGAUGUGCGAAAGCGUGGGGAUCAAACAGGAUUAGAUACCCUGGUAGUCCACGCCGUAAACGAUGAGUGCUAAGUGUUAGGGGGUUUCCGCCCCUUAGUGCUGCAGCUAACGCAUUAAGCACUCCGCCUGGGGAGUACGACCGCAAGGUUGAAACUCAAAGGAAUUGACGGGGACCCGCACAAGCGGUGGAGCAUGUGGUUUAAUUCGAAGCAACGCGAAGAACCUUACCAAAUCUUGACAUCCUUUGACAACUCUAGAGAUAGAGCCUUCCCCUUCGGGGGACAAAGUGACAGGUGGUGCAUGGUUGUCGUCAGCUCGUGUCGUGAGAUGUUGGGUUAAGUCCCGCAACGAGCGCAACCCUUAAGCUUAGUUGCCAUCAUUAAGUUGGGCACUCUAAGUUGACUGCCGGUGACAAACCGGAGGAAGGUGGGGAUGACGUCAAAUCAUCAUGCCCCUUAUGAUUUGGGCUACACACGUGCUACAAUGGACA